rnacentral:misc_RNA from 1 species
GAUGAAGAACGUAGCGAAAUGCGAUAAGUAAUGUGAAUUGCAGAAUUCAGUGAAUCAUCGAAUCUUUGAACGCACAUUGCGCCCCCUGGUAUUCCGGGGGGCAUGCCUGUCCGAGCGUCAUUACAACCCUCAAGCUCAGCUUGGUGUUGGGCCCCGCCGCCCCGGCGGGCCCUAAAGUCAGGGGCGGUGCCGUCCGGCUCCGAGCGUAGUAAUUCUUCUCGCUCUGGAGGUCCGGUCGUGUGCUCGCCAGCAACCCCCAAUUUUUUUCAGGUUGACCUCGGAUCAGGUAGGGAUACCCGCUGAACUUAAGCAUAUCAAUAAGCGGAGGA